GAACCCACGAGGGAACCCAGUGAUGUUUUUGGUACGUCCCGGGUGCUCACUUGUGAUGAGCCUUUAGAUUUGGCACAUUUUUUCUCUUUGCCUAUCUGUCCAUCAUGGUAUGUGUAUGACAUAUUUUCAUCUUGAAGUUUUUUUGUUGCAGAUCCAUUUGAAAGUCAUAUAUUCAGCACAACAUACACCACACAGCAAUAUUCAGUUUUUUUUUUGUUGAUUGGACAGAUGUUUAAAGUAGAUAUGAAAAUAUCUCGACACCACCACCAUUGGGCUGGUCGCAUCCAGUUCCAAUGCCUCAACAUUAAGAAUAAUUUGCGCCAAGGUUUUAUCAAGUGCUCCGAUCUGGUAAAACCUUCAAUUGGAUUUCUAGAUUUGUUUAAUUUAAUUUUUUUUUUGCCAUCCUUGAUUUUUAUUUGUGUUAUAAAUCCUAUUGGAACUGCAUUUUCAUCUUCUUUAUGUAAUAGUGAGGAUGUUGAUUUCGUUAAGCACUUAAGUUGUUAUGUUGCUCAAAGUGUUUAAUACAUUUAGAAUCCGGUCAAACAUAGUGUGCAUGUUCUAGGCUUGAAGAGUAAAGUACUGAAAGAAUCCAUUAGGACAUGACUGUUAGUAAAUUGCAAGUUUUGCUAACCUUAUUUGAUCAUUUCAUUUGUUUAAUGGGGAUUAAGGUCAUAUAUUUGGUGUUUCUUUUUUACUUUUAGUUUACACAUGCCAUCUGUUUAAUAUAAUGUCUGUGUGAAGGUUAGACUUCUUUAUUAAAAUUUUAAAGGGUGUAAAGGUGACAUGAAGCAAAACCAUCAAAGCCUAAUCUUAAUCUUGAAACAUGAACCCAACAGCACCUGAGUUUGUCUCACACACCGCUUUUAAUUAAAUACAUAUAAAUACUCUACUCUCAUCAUCCAAAUCUUCAAUCCCACUUCGUAUUCUGCAAAAACAAACUAAAGGAAUCAUCAUCACCUUAUAUUUUCUAACAGUUGUGCACUAUUUGUCAUAUAAUGCCUUCAGUUGACGAAAAGCUUGCCAUGGCCAAGAGUUGCUCUCAUGAGGGAGUAGUUGUAGGAGCUAAGUUAGUUGUGUAAACCACCAUUGCCACCGCUAUUCCAACUAUGGCAAGUGCAAGAAUAAAAAAACAAAGCAUAAAAAAACUACACCUUUUAGCUACUCAUGCAUGCCUAUGGAGACCAAACAACCACAUGAUCAUUUGCUAUCAAAGCACUGAUGAAUAAAAAACAAAGCAUAAAAAACUGUCCGAACUUUCACGGCUCAUACAUAAUAAUUUUGAUAUGGCUGAUGAAUAUGGUUUAGUUUUUUGAAGGUACAAAUGAAUUGCAAUGGUUGGUUUAAAGUACAAGAAAUUUUAGAUAUGAUAAAUAGGAUGGGUUUUAAGAUUUGAGAAAGUUAACCGUGACCAAAAAUAAGUUAUUAAUUAUAAUUUGUUUUGAGUUUUUUAUAUUUUAAAAUAUU